UUGGUCGGAGAGUUUGAUCCUGGCUCAGGGCGAACGCUGGCAGCGUGCCUAAGACAUGCAAGUCGAGCGGGCCUGGCGUCUCGGGGCAACCCGAGGGGCGAGGGCAGCGGCGGACGGGUGAGUAACGCGUAGGUAACCUGCCCCCGGGUUCGGGAUAACCCCUCGAAAGGGGGGCUAAUACCGGAGGGCUGUACCUGGGGCAUCCUGGGUGCAGGAAAGGCCCGAGAGGGUCGCCCGGGGAGGGGCCUGCGUCCCAUCAGCUGGUUGG
rnacentral:rRNA from 1 species